rnacentral:rRNA from 1 species
AAUGAGUGGUAUGCCAAACGCUCCGGCGCCGAAGGAUGUGGCUGCGGCCGAUUAGGUAGACGGUGGGGUAACGGCCCACCGUGCCAAUAAUCGGUAUGGGUCAUGAGAGUGAGAACCCAGAGACGGAAUCUGAGACAAGAUUCCGGGCCCUACGGGGCGCAGCAGGCGCGAAACCUUUACACUGCACGACAGUGCGAUAGGGGGAUCCCAAGUGCACAGGCAUAGCGCCUGUGCUUUUCGGUACCGUAAGGUGGUACCAGAAUAAGGGCUGGGCAAGACCGGUGCCAGCCGCCGCGGUAAUACCGGCAGCCCGAGUGAUGGCCGAUCUUAUUGGGCCUAAAGCGU